rnacentral:rRNA from 1 species
GAUUAGAGUUUGAUCAUGGCUCAGGCACGAACGCUGGCGGCGUGCCUAAUACAUGCAAGUCGAGCGAAUCAAUUGGGAGCUUGCUCCCUUUUGGUUAGCGGCGGACGGGUGAGUAACACGUGGGUAACCUGCCUGUAAGACUGGGAUAACUCCGGGAAACCGGGGCUAAUACCGGAUAAGUUUUUCCUCCGCAUGGAGGAACAUUGAAAGAUGGCUUCGGCUAUCACUUACAGAUGGACCCGCGGCGCAUUAGCUAGUUGGUGAGGUAACGGCUCACCAAGGCAACGAUGCGUAGCCGACCUGAGAGGGUGAUCGGCCACACUGGGACUGAGACACGGCCCAGACUCCUACGGGAGGCAGCAGUAGGGAAUCUUCCGCAAUGGACGAAAGUCUGACGGAGCAACGCCGCGUGAGUGAUGAAGGUUUUCGGAUCGUAAAACUCUGUUGUUAGGGAAGAACAAGUACCGUUCGAAUAGGGCGGUGCCUUGACGGUACCUAACCAGAAAGCCACGGCUAACUACGUGCCAGCAGCCGCGGUAAUACGUAGGUGGCAAGCGUUGUCCGGAAUUAUUGGGCGUAAAGCGCGCGCA